GUGCUCACUUCGGCAGCACAUAUACUAAAAUUGCCCCAGUAGAGAGAAGAUUAGCAUGGCCCAUGCACACAGAUGACAUGCAAAUUCAUCAAUUUAAAUUUUA
ensembl:snRNA U6 U6 spliceosomal RNA